UUUUGCACAAGGUUGGUAACCCUGAAGAUUUUCUUUCACUGCAAAACAAAGGGUCGUUCUUCUGAAGAUGUUUCAUAUAUCCUCGUUUUUAAAUGUUGUUUAGAAGAGGAAGGAAUGCCGUGGUUUAAGUGAUAUGGACAGGAGAUGGAAAUACUGGGUAGAAAAGGGCAGUUCCCUGGCAAAGCCUCACCCUCAAGCCCGGAUACCUGCUGUCUUAAACGAAAACAGGCAUUUCUGUGUUCGUGCUCCAAAAGUUGUCUUUUGGCCCGCCCCACACCCCCUAUCCUGCACCCAUAUGAAUCCCGAACCCCAGACUCCAGAAGCAGACCAGCAAGCCCGCAGACCAGCAGAAGGAUGGCAGAACGAUGUGGCAGAGGAAAGGAGAAGAGGAGGAACAUCUGAAUGUCAAAAUGAGUUCAGCUGGGGGCAGUCAGAGAGGAGUCCAGCCACUGGGCAGCCGGAAUCCAGGGGAGGAUCACCUUUCCACUUCAUCCCCUUCCUCUGCCUCCCCAUCCAUCCUGCUGAAAGCCACCUCCACCACUCAAUAAAACCUGCCAUUCACCCUUGGA